rnacentral:rRNA from 1 species
UACGAAGGGGGCUAGCGUUGCUCGGAAUUACUGGGCGUAAAGCGUUUGUAGGCGGUCUUUUAAACCAGUGGUGAAAGCCUGGGGCUCAACCCCAGAAUUGCCAUUGGGACUGGAAGGCUAGAGAAUGUUAGAGGUAAGUGGAAUUCCUAGUGUAGGAGUGAAAUCCGUAGAGAUUAGGAGGAAUAUCGAUGGCGAAGGCAGCUUACUGGGACAUUUCUGACGCUGAGAAACGAAAGCGUGGGUAGCAAACAGG